rnacentral:tRNA from 1 species
GGAAAGGUGGCAGAGUUGGUCGAUUGCACUGGUCUUGAAAACCAGCAUAGUUAAUCCUAUCGAGGGUUCGAAUCCCUCCCUUUCCG